GGGGGCGUAGCUCAGUUGGUAGAGCAGCGGACUUUUAAUCCGCUGGUCAAGGGUUCGAGUCCCUUCGCCCUCA
rnacentral:tRNA from 1 species